rnacentral:rRNA from 1 species
GGUUAAAGGUUCGCAGUUUGAUUGUCGGAAUAAUAUACGCGAUGUGGAUGCCGAGACGGUUGCCGGUUGUUGCCUCGUGCGCGAUUGGCCGUCUCUCCAAGUGCAUCUCUCGCUGGCUAACGGUUAUGUAUCGGCGGCGUGGCGGGCGUUUCGGCGCUCGCGUUACGCGUCGCCGACGGACACCUUGAGUAAAUCAGAGUGCUUAAAGCAGUCGUUGAACGACCAACGGCUGCGCGCGUGGCCCCUCGCGGGUCGCGCUCGCUGUCCUAUUUGGUGGCGCCCUCGGGCGUUUGGACAUUGUCUUUGUUUUGCAUGGUACGUCGGAAGACGCCGUGUGAGUUGGUUGCGCUUACGCUUCAAGACACACCAUCGGCUCACGCCGGUGUGUGCGCGUGCACCAACAAGCACGGAAUGAACUGAUAGGGAUGGCUCGAAGGCAUUGGUAUUGCGAGGCGAGAGGUGAAAUUCAGUGACCCUCGCAAGACUACCUGAAGCGAAAGCGUCUGCCUAGGACGUCUUCAUUAAUCAUGAACGAAAGUUGAAGGAUCGAAGGCGAUCAGAUACCGCCCUAGUUGCAACCGUAAACGAUAUCAACCAUCAAUCCGUCGAGCGUUCCCUUGCGUCGCGCGGUGUCUGGCUUAACGGUCGGUCGUGUGGCAAAGUGUAAACGCUCGAUGGGCAGCUCCUCUAUCACGGGAAACCAGAGUUUUUCGGUUCCGGGGGGAGUCUGGUUGCAAAGCUGAAACUUAAAGGAAUUGACGGAAAGGCACCACCAGGCGUGGAGCUUGCGGCUCAAUUUGACUCAACACGGGAAAUCUCACCAGACCCGAACGUCUCUAAUGAUUGACAGAUUGAAAGCUCUUUCUUGAUGAAGUGGAUGGUGGUGCAUGGCCGUUCUUAGUUGGUGGAGUGAUCUGUCUGGUUAAUUCCGAUAACGAACGAGACUCUCUCCUACUAACACGAUCUUUAUGGUUAUCUAGACGGUGAGAUUCGAUGCAAGGGGCCACGCGCGUAAGCGCCGGCUCCGGACGAUGUCCACUGAUCCUUGGUACGCCGGCCUAGCUCUGUGCCGUGUCGCGCGCUUAAGCGGGUGGUGGCGCGCGGAAACGCGCACCCUACUCGUGCCGGCCGGCCAGACUUUGUCGGCAAGGUGCCUCGGAGUACUUUCUUCUUAGAGGGAUUGACGACUUCUAAGUCGUAAGAAACUGAGAGCAAUAACAGGUCUGUGAUGCCCUUAGAUGUUCUGGGCUGCACGCGUGUUACAAUGCCGGUAUCAACGGGUUCUUACACCUUGCGUGGCCUUCUCCGAAAGGAGUGGGUAAACCUUUGAAAUACCAACCGGUGUCGCGCCUCGUGCGCGGCGCCUUUUCGGCUUACUUGGGACUGGGGAUUGCAACUAUUCCCCACGAACUAGGAAUGCCUUGUAGUGGCGGGUCACAGAGCCCGCUGCGAAUCUGUCCCUGCCCUUUGUACACACCGCCCGUCGCUACUACCGAUCGAGUGUACCAGAGAGGUUUUUGGACUGGCGAACCGCGCACAAGCCAUGGGAUGCGUCGCGGCAAAC